rnacentral:rRNA from 1 species
UACGGAGGGUGCAAGCGUUAUCCGGAUUUAUUGGGUUUAAAGGGUGCGUAGGCUGUUUAGUAAGUCAGCGGUGAAAAGUAUAGGCUUAACCUGUACCUUGCCAUUGAUACUGCUAAGCUUGAAUAUGAAUGAAGAUGGAGGAAUGUGUGGAGUAGCGGUGAAAUGCUUAGAUAUCACACAGAAGGUCGAAUGCGAAGGCAUCUGUCUAAUUCAUUAUUGACGCUGAUGCACGAAAGCGUGGGGAUCAAACAGG